rnacentral:rRNA from 1 species
GGAGUGAGUGGUACGAUGAUGAGGGUCGGUGAGUUUGGUGGAUGGGGGAUCAGUAGGGUGGUGAAGCCGGAAUGUCUAGACCGUAACGCGUGAAGAGGAGUGAAGAGGAGAGGAGAGUCUAGAAGUAAAGAAGAGGGGAAGGGGACAGGGGACGUUAUAUGUUGUCAAUGAAUCGUCGGAGUAGAAGGGGAAGGAUUUGCUUAGGGGGAUAACGUAGCGUCCGGAGGAGUAGGUUCUACGGAUCACUAGACGGGUAGCCAAGUUCUAACGAUUCUAAACGUCUGGGGGAGGUCGGGGAACUGGUUCGCGUUAUCUUUCACACUGUUCAAGUCUCUGACAAUAAAGAAGUCAAUGUAGCACUUCAGAGUCAUACGAAGCGUGUAGAAACUAAAGUGAUACCGAACCCCGUGGAAGUCUUUAACCUUAGCAAUAACUUGGUGGGUAAGAGAAGGGUCAAUACAAACGAUGGCGUCAAAGACAUUAUACUUGAUACAGUGUUAGUAGAUGCGGUUAAGAGUAUCGUGCCAGUAGUUCGUACUGUAAUUCGUAAUUGGUUCGACUUACUAAUUCUAUCAAGUUCUAUGUAAAAAACGUCUAGGCUACGACACUUAGACGGGGCAGGGAAGCUUUACAAUGGUUGUGGUGACUUGCGAGGAAAACACGAACGUGUGAGAAGAUAACCUAUACUCAGGAAUCGUUGUAGAUAGCCCGAUGACGAUGAGUUAUGUAGUGGUGCCUUAUUGAGAGAGAAUAGCAGAAGAAGAAAUCUAGACGGUCAAAGAUCGUGUUGGACUUGUCAUAAAGAGGUUUCUAAUGAGUACACUGGCCCGAUGUAAAGAUUCGUAUAGAUUGUAUGUUUACCUCUUAUACAAUGGAAUGCACUUCCUUCAGGCAGGUAAUGUAGGUGGUGGAACUAUAAAGAGGGAGAGGCAAUGCGUGUAUCGACAAGAAGCGAAGUGAGUCCUCCUCCUCAAAGAAGUCUUAUUUACCUAUCUGACUUACGUCCCACAUCGAAAAUGGGGUUGUCAACGUAGCUACGAGGUCAAUUUCAUAGUGGUGGUUGGUUGGUGGGUAUAAAUGACGGGGUGGUAAAACGGUGACGAUCGGUUGACGGAUGAAGAGCUUCGUAUAAAAUGUUUGUGCGGACAUUAGUAUAUUCUACAACGGGGGACCUCCGACAGUGACGAUGUUUUAGUAGGUGUAACCCCGAAGAAAAUCUGUUUACGUACAGGUGAAUUAACUGUAUGGAAAGUAAAAAAAGUUUUGUAAUCACAAUCGUUGACACUUAUUUUUUAGUCGGGUUUCAUUGAAGAAAACGUUGGAUAAAUUUGUAAAAAAAUUUAUAAUAUACGAUAAGCAACCUGUUUGGUAGGCUUAAUUGAAAGGGGGACAAUUUAGUACGUUCAUUGAGGCAUAAAUAAAGGAAUAGAAGGUCAAUUUAGUACAUUCAUUCAGGUAUGUAAUGAUUUAAAUAAUUGGUAUGUAUAAAUGAAUAAAAACUAAAGAAUGACAACCACGUUUUGUACCGUUAAAUCAAUGAAGGAUGAUUUGUGUUUCUGUCUAAUGGACGCGUGGUUGAUUCGAUUCAACUGCGGUCCUGAGACUGUUCCUGGAGCUAGAAGGUUCUUCCACCACACAGGGUCAUCCUGUUGUAAAUAGCUACCUGCUAACUUUUACGCAGCAGCGACGAUGUUCUAGGACAUGGCUGGACAGACACCGGACCAUGUAGUGACAUGCAGACUACAUAUAAGGUGAAAGGUUGAUAAGGAAGUUCGGCAUAUACGACUUUACGAUGAAAUCUACGGUUAGCGCUACGUGAAUACCUGCGUAACCCAUUGUCCCUGUAUACAGGGGUAUCUGGUUUGUAAGCGGAGAACACUUUGUGGCAGUAACACGAAACUUGACCUGUACUACUUCCGGAUACUGUUUCAACUUACCUCAAUCAACUCUCGAUAAUACUCAUUCAACCCUAAAAGUGUAUCUACCCAACUAUAACAGUACUUAGAAUAACCGAGAUAAAGAAUGAGUCAAAAUAAGUUACCUUUUCCAAUAUACUUAAAUUUGGAGGUUCUCAAUAAGCAGUCCAUCUAGUCUAGAGGGGGAUGGACAAAAACAACUGUCAUCUCCCGGAAAGCACGGAGGAUUUUUUUAAUUUGGUCAGUAGAGUCUAACCACCCCAUGUUCACCGCGGAAGCCGUGGCGUACAAUUAGUGGAAAACAAACAUCUACUAUCGAACAACAAGAAGUUUCGAUUACCACACCUCCGCCAACUCCAUAGUUUUUACAACUUGGUUACGACGUUACGUAGUACUGUCUUUCAUUUAGGUCGAUUCAGUAGUUAUAAAAAAUCGUUUCCCACGGGUUGCUUAUAGUUUCUCCUUCAGUUCCCAUAAGACGUACAAGGGUGGCUUUGAAACUUACUGUUCAUGGAUCCAUACGGAAGACUGUAUCCAUGAAGUUUCAAACCCCGCAAAUUUAUAUAGUUUCUAUCCGAAACCUUGUUCCAUUUUCUCACCUAACUUAUUUGACUAUUCCGUCAAGACCACCCCUUCGUUUCUUCCAUUUGUCUUCGGGUCGACCCAAAGUACCUUUAGUUACUGAGUCGGUUUCAAAUACCCGCCUAACCCGAAGGCUCUAAAACUUAACAAGUUAGAUCGUAGCAACCGUGCGGUUAGUACCUCUGAUAACGUUUUGGGACUAAGUGAUACACCAUCUAACAACUUCCACCCAAUGAAAGCUCUAUCCAUAUAGAACUGGCGACUCAACCCGUCGGUAGGGAGGGUUUAAAGCGCCCGCCAAGAACUCCCCUCUCUACACGAACGGCUUCCUGACUAGUUUUCCUAACCUCUACAUAG